rnacentral:ribozyme from 1 species
UUUUUUUGUGAUGUUUUGUUGUUCGUCUGUUUGGCGAAUCACUGUUAUAAUUUGGACGAAUGGGAAAAUAAAGAAAGCGUGCAGUCAUCGAACAGAAAAGAAAAAAAUGGCAAUCGUUUCCCGUUUGUU